rnacentral:sRNA from 1 species
GUCUACUUUCCUUUCACCAGAUGAACAAACAUACUCUACAAAUUGUGGAGAAGAAAAAGGUUUUGUCAUUGGCUGGACCAGGAGAAGCUUUCAGAAGAUUCUUAAUUCCGAGAAGACGGAGCUCUUGACAGAAGCCCUCCUAAGCUCGAGAAGUAGGAUAAUGGGAGACAACCUUGGCUUGGAUUUCUUCAGACCAGGCAGACCAUCGGAAUAAACAAAGUGGGGGUGUGCCUGUGUGGGUGUUUCAGCUUUACUUCAUGGUGACUUCUUUCUUUUGUCAGUGAUACUCUGUGCCUUGGCAGCCUUUCACAGUAUGUCACGGGUCACAUGGGAAGUAAGCAGAAGGCCAAGAUGUGGACGGACCGACUGGCUUAAUGUUGCUUUUCAAGGCAACAUUCUUUCCCCGUGUCUUCCAUUUGCCGGUUCCAGAGCUCAAAUGCAGUCGUCAGGCUUGUGUGGUACGGAGCCACCUCACCGGUUCCUGAACUUUUAUCCAGCUCCUCUGUUCCCUGCCCUUUCCUGAGGAAGUGUGCUGUUGGCUGGGUCUCAAUGAUUGGAAAUGGCAGAUAGUUGAGGAACUCACUCCUGCUCUCUUGGCUCCAGUUCCAGAGGGAUGACGUUCAUCAUGGAGAAAAAGGCAUGAUGACGGCAUGCAGGGAUGGUGUGGUUAAUGGGAGCAGAAGGCUGGCUAGUCACUGCAACCCAAAUGAUGCAGCUGAGUGUGACCAGGAAGUGGGGCUCGGCCAGAAAGUCUCCAGGUCCACCUUCAGUGACUCGCUCUCUUCAGAAAGGCUCUACCUCCUAAGGAGUCCACAACUUUUUCAAUCAGCGCUACCAUCAGGAAACUAUGUGUUCGAGUACUGGAAUCUAUGGAGGAACGGAUCAUAUGCAAUCCACUACAGAUUGAUGGGAAUGGCAUAUCAGGAUUUGUGGAAUAUAAAACAUCAGAUACAUGUAGGAUGAGCCUUAGAAAGAACUAGUGAUACACUGGAAACUUUCGCCAAUUUCUGCACUGUAGAUAUUCCCACUAUGGCUGACUUCAAUCUACCAGUGAUUUGGCACAGCAGCUGUGGAAGUCAGAAGAGGAUGUCGAUUUUCCUGGAGCUAGACAUACAGAGAUGAGGACCCACCUCAGGUCUAUGGGCUAGGUAAGUGCUCUCUAUUACUGAGCUAAAAUCCCCACGCCCACAUCUAUUUUAAUGUAUAUGUAUUCUAUCACCUUGUCUUUCCUUUCCCCUGACUCUCUUAAUAUCUCUUUGUCCCUUUUGAUCAUGUCUAUUUUCAUGAUCUACACAUGUGCAUGUGCACACAUCGUACACAUAGACACUCAUUUCAGUCUGGAUUCUGUAUAUAAAAGGAAGCAGGCAGAAUUUGUCAUUCUGAGGCUGGCUUAUUUUGCUUAACAUAAUGAUCUCCAGUUGCAUCCAU